rnacentral:rRNA from 1 species
AGUCAAGCAGAAAGGGCACAAGGCGGAUGCCUUGGCUCCGGGAAGCGAAGAAGGACGCGGCCAGCUGCGAUAAGCCUCGGGGAGGAGCAAACAUCCUUUGAUCCGGGGAUUUCCGAAUGGGGCAACCCGCACGGGUGUUGAGCCCGUGCACUGACACUUGAAUACAUAGGGUGUCAGGGCGAACCCAGGGAACUGAAACAUCUCAGUACCUGGAGGAAGAGAAAUCAACCGAGAUUCCCUCAGUAGCGGCGAGCGAACGGGGAUGAGCCCAAACCGUCGGGUGCGCCCGGCGGGGUUGUAGGACCGUCAACAAAGUGGAGUAAGAAGGUUAGCUGAAGUGUCUGGGAAGGCACGGCAUAGAGGGUUAGACCCCCGUAGGCGAAAACUGGAAGACCUGCGAGACGGCACCUGAGUAGGGCGGGACACGUGGAACCCCGUCUGAAUCUGGGGGGACCUCCCUCCAAGGCUAAAUAUUACCCGGAGACCGAUAGUGAACCAGUACCGUGAGGGAAAGGUGAAAAGCACCUCGAACAGAGGAGUGAAAUAGUUCCUGAAACCUUGUGUCUACAAGCAGUGGAAGCCCUUCGGGGCGACCGCGUGCCUUUUGCAUAAUGAGCCAACGAGUUGUCCGUCGGCGGCCAGGUUAAGCCUCUGGUGUAGCCGUAGCGAAAGCGAGUCUGAAUAGGGCAUUCAGUCGCCGGCGACAGACCCGAAACCGAGUGAUCUAUCCCUGUCCAGGUUGAAGCCUGGGUAAGACCAGGUGGAGGACCGAACCAAUGUGCCUUAAAAAGUGCUUGGAUGAGGUGGGGAUAGGAGUGAAAGGCUAAUCAAACUCGGAGAUAGCUGGUUCUCCCCGAAACCUAUUUAGGUAGGGCCUCGUGGUAGGCCGCCGGAGGUAGAGCACUGGAUGGACUAGGGCCCCCACCAGGGUACCAAACCCAACCAAACUACGAAUGCCGGUAAGUCGUUCCGCGGGAGUCAGACGGCGGGAGCUAACUUUCGUCGUCGAAAGGGAAACAACCCAGACCGUCAGCUAAGGCCCCCAAGUCAUGGCUAAGUGGGAAAGGAAGUGGGAACGCCCAGACAACCAGGAGGUUAGCUUAGAAGCAGCUACCCUUUAAAGAAAGCGUAAUAGCUCACUGGUCAAGCGGGCCUGCACCGAAAAUAUAACGGGGCUUAAGCCAUGCGCCGAAGCUGCGGAUCGUCCUUCGGGACGAUGGUAGGGGAGCGUUCCCCGUGCGGAGAAGCUGUGGUGGGAACCAUGGUGGAGCGCGGGGAAGUGAGGAUGUUGGCAUGAGUAACGAAAAUGCGGGCGAGAAACCCGCACGCCGAAAGUCCAAGGGUUCCUGGGCCAGGUUAAUCCGCCCAGGGUUAGUCGGCACCUAAGGCGAGGCCGAAAGGCGUAGCCGAAGGAAAACCGGUUCAUAUUCCGGUACUUGCGGUGACGCGUGAUGGAGGGACGCAGGAGGAUAGGUCGGCCGGGUGAUGGAUGUCCCGGUUUAAGGCGGUAGCCGGAAGCUCUAGGCAAAUCCGGAGCUUCAACGGCGAGAGCUGAUGACGAGAGGCUUUGCCUCACAAAGCGAUUGAUUCCACACUGCCAAGAAAAGCUUCUAAGCAUAGUCACGGCAAACCGUACCCCAAACCGACACAGGUGGACAGGUAGAGAAUACCAAGGCGCUUGAGAGAAACCAUGUUAAGGAACUCUGCAAAUUAACUCCGUACCUUUGGAAGAAGGAGUGCCCACAAAGUGAAGGGGCUUGCCCCCGGAGCUUAGCUGGGUCGCAGUGACCAGGCCUGGCCGACUGUUUAGCAAAAACAUAGCACUCUGCAAACUCGCAAGAGGAAGUAUAGGGUGUGACGCCUGCCCGGUGCCGGAAGGUUAACAGGAGAGGUCAGCUUCGGCGAAGCCUCGAAUCGAAGCCCCGGUAAACGGCGGCCGUAACUAUAACGGUCCUAAGGUAGCGAAAUUCCUUGUCGGGUAAGUUCCGACCUGCACGAAUGGC